rnacentral:lncRNA from 1 species
CCCUUUCGGGUUUUCAGUCCACCAGGAUACCCUUUUUUGCCCAAGCCGCCCUUGUGGGGUUUUCGACUUGCCGGGUGUACAUUUUUUCUUUUUAUCCCUAAUUUUUGCCCGAACCUUUUUCAUUUUUUUUGGUUCGCCGGGAUGCCCAUUUUUGCCUGGACUAUUUUAUUCUUUUCGUCCAGCGGGUCUCUUUUACGAAGUAUUUUUUUU